GGAGGUAUAGCUCAGUGGUACUGAGUGUUUGCCUAGCAUACAUCAGGCCCUGGGAUCAGUCCCCAGUGCCAUGA
rnacentral:tRNA from 1 species